AUGUCCUCCAUCUUCAAGCGCCGCCAGCCACGGCUGUUGCACGUCCUCAUCCAUCUCUUCCUAGUAAUCCAACUCUCCAGCUCGCUUGCGGCUGGUACGUUCAGCAACCGGACUACCAUGCCAGUUCCUUGCCGGCCGGACCAGGCCUCGGCGCUCCUCCGUCUGAAACGGUCCUUCAACAUCACCGUGAAUUCUACGUGCACCCUCCAGUCCUGGCGGCCCGGCACUGACUGCUGCCACUGGCAGGGUGUCAGCUGCGGCCGCGCCAGCGGCCGGGUGACUUCCCUCCACUUGGGUGAGUGCCGUUUGGAAAGCCCUGCUCUUGAUCCUGCCGUUUUUGACCUCGCCUCACUUCGGUAUCUAAACCUCGCCCGGAACAAGUUCCAGGGGUCAGAAAUCCCCACUCUCGGGUUUGAGCGGCUCACUGAGCUCACCCAUCUCAACCUCUCUACCUGCGAAUUUGCAGGCGGCAUACCACAUGCGAUAAAACGCCUCACCAAUCUGGUAUCUCUUGACCUCUCCAGCGAAUAUUAUCUUUAUGACCAAGAUGACAGUUAUCUAUCAACUGCCGUGUGGUCAGCCUGGUCUCUCGUAGAGCCAAACCUUGGGUCAUUAGUCGCUCACCUUCAUAAUCUGGAACAGCUAUAUCUUGGCAAGAUAGAUCUGUCUGGCAAUGCGCCUAAUUGGUGCAAUGCCUUUACCAAUUCUACAACCCCUCGGCUACAGGUUCUUAGCUUACCUAAUUGCUGGCUCUCAGGUCCAAUUUGUGCAUCAGUUUCCGGCAUACGCCCGCUCACUGAGAUUAACCUACAGUUUAACAAAAUAAACGGACCAGUUGAGUUAUUUGCUGACUUACCUUCACUAAGUGUUCUUACACUUACCAACAAUCUCCUCGAAGGACGGUUCCCGGCUAAACUCUUCCAAAACAACAACUUAACAGAUAUCGAUAUUAGCUAUAAUUUCGAUGUCUCUGGUUCAUUACCAAAUUUUUCAUCACAAAGCAUGUUGACCAAGUUGCUUGUCAGUAGUACCGACUUCUCUGGUAUUAUUCCCAGCUCAAUUGCAAACCUCAAAUCCUUGAACAUGUUGGGUCUUGCAUCAAGUGACUUUCCCCAAGAGCUUCCCUCUUCGAUUGGCCAACUUACAUCCUUAAAAAAAUUAGAGGUAUCUGGGUCUGGUAUAAUAGGAUCGAUACCACCAUGGAUCGCAAAUUUAACUUCUUUGAUCUGGCUCCAGUUCUCGGACUGCAGUUUGACUGGACAAAUACCUUCAUUUGUAGGCAAUAUAAAAAAUCUAACGAGGUUACAGUUAUACAACUGUGACUUUUCUGGCCCAAUACCCCCACAUAUAUAUAAUCUGACUCAACUGCAAUUCCUAUAUCUUCAUUCCAACAACUUUGUUGGCAGUAUACAACUCAGCCCAUUCUGGAAACUACCACACCUAAUUAGUUUGGAACUUUCAAACAACAAACUUUCAGUGAUCGAAGGAGACGAUAACUAUUCAGCCACCUCUAUCAAUCAUUUAAAUGUCCGUACCUUAGGUCUAGCAUCUUGUAACCUGUCCAGUAUCCCUAAUGCCAUGAGAAAUAUGCCUCGUAUUUCUAAUCUUGAUAUUUCAAGAAAUCAAAUUCGUGGUGCUAUACCUCAUUGGGCUUGGGAAACAUGGAGCAGCAUGCUAAUUCUGGACUUAUCACAUAACAAAUUUACAAGUGUAGGAUAUGAAAACCUUCCCGUUGAUGUUGUGUUUCUUGAUCUCAGUUUUAACUUACUCCAGGGGCCUAUACCUGUACCUACACCAGCCGCAUCGUCGCUUGAUUUCUCAAACAACCGGUUCUCAUCCAUACCACUUAGCUUUGGUUUUCAACUUAGUCGGAUGCGCUAUCUCCAGGCCUCUAGAAAUAAUAUCUCUGGCAAAAUUCCACCAUCGAUUUGUGAUGCGAGUAGUCUAGUGCUCCUUGAUCUCUCCUACAACAAUUUGAGUGGCUCGAUCCCAUCUUGUUUAUUGGAGGAUAUAAAUUCCCUUGCAGUCUUGAACUUUAAAGCAAACCAACUUCGAGGGAAGUUACCACAUGAUAUCAUGCAAGGUUGUGCAUCCGAGGAAAUGGACUUCAGUGACAACCAAAUCGAAGGCCAAGUUCCAAGAUCUCUACUUGCUUGCAGAGACUUGCAAGUUUUUGACAUCGGAAAUAACCAGAUCACUGAUAAUUUUCCAUGUUGGAUGAGCAUGCUUCCAAAGCUUCAAGUCCUGGUGCUAAAGUCUAACAAGUUCUUUGGGGAGAUGGGGACUCCUGUCCUAGGAAAGGAGAGCAACUGUGAGUUCACAAAGCUGAGAGUUAUUGAUUUGGCUUCAAACAACUUCUCUGGUACGUUGCAGAGCAAGUGGUUUAGGAGCUUGCAAUCAAUGGCCAGAAAAUCUUCAAAUGACGUAGUGUCGAUGCAAUACCAGCAUGUCACUGAUGGGACAAGAUAUCAAUUUAAUACUGCAAUUACAUAUAAAGGGUCUGAGGUCGUAUUUUCCAGGAUUUUGGAGACCCUUGUUGUCAUUGAUGUUUCAAAUAAUGCAUUCCAUGGUGUCAUUCCCAAGUCAAUCGGGGAGCUUCUUCUACUUUGUGGGAUAAACAUGUCACAUAAUGCCUUCACUGGACAAAUACCAGCUCAGUUUGGUGCUCUACAUCAACUAGAGUCACUUGACCUCUCUUCAAAUGACCUGUCAGGGGAGAUUCCACAGGAGUUAGCAUGGCUUGACUUCCUUUCGGUAUUGAACUUGUCGUACAACGGGUUGGUUGGGAACAUACCAGAAUCACCCCAUUUUCAGACAUUCAAUAAUCUUUCAUUUCUGGGGAAUAUUGGCCUGUGUGGACUACCAUUGUCCAAGGAAUGCGAGAAGACCAACCCAAAUAUGGUCUCACACUCAUUGAAGAAGAAAUCGGUGGACAUUAUACUAUUCCUCUUUGUUGGACUAGGAUUUGGUGUCGGAUUUGCAGUUUCAGUUGUUGUGAGUGUGACAUGGGGAAGCACAAUAGCAAAACAUCUUGAGAUGGCACUUCCUCGUGGUGUAGUAAAGUAUUUGUUAUGUAGAUUAGUCUGA
rnacentral:rRNA from 1 species